GGGCCGGCCUUAGCUCUGUGGUUACUUCUGUGACGAAAGGCUUCUUUCAAUUAAAUCUCUUCAGAGAUUCAAACCCCGUGGGUGCUUUCCGGUCCUUUU
rnacentral:vault_RNA from 2 species